AACGAACGCUGGCGGCAUGCCUAACACAUGCAAGUCGAACGAGACCUUCGGGUCUAGUGGCGCACGGGUGCGUAACGCGUGGGAACCUGCCCUUAGGUUCGGACUAACUCCCCGAAAGGGGUGCUAAUACCGGAUAAUGUCUUCGGACCAAAGAUUUAUCGCCUUUGGAUGGGCCCGCGUUGGAUUAGCUUGUUGGUAGGGUAAAAGCCUACCAAGGCGACGAUCCAUAGCUGGUCUGAGAGGAUGAUCAGCCACACUGGGACUGAGACACGGCCCAGACUCCUACGGGAGGCAGCAGUGGGGAAUAUUGGACAAUGGGCGAAAGCCUGAUCCAGCAAGGCCGCGUGAGUGAUGAAGGCCUUAGGGUUGUAAAGCUCUUUUAACCGGGAUGAUAAUGACAGUACCGGGAGAAUAAGCUCCGGCUAACUCCGUG
rnacentral:rRNA from 1 species